GGAAUAUUGCACAAUGGGGGAAACCCUGAUGCAGCAACGCCGCGUGAGUGAUGACGGCCUUCGGGUUGUAAAGCUCUGUCUUCAGGGACGAUAAUGACGGUACCUGAGGAGGAAGCCACGGCUAACUACGUGCCAGCAGCCGCGGUAAUACGUAGGUGGCGAGCGUUGUCCGGAUUUACUGGGCGUAAAGGGAGCGUAGGCGGAUUUUUAAGUGAGAUGUGAAAUACUCGGGCUUAACCUGAGUGCUGCAUUUCAAACUGGAAGUCUAGAGUGCAGGAGAGGAGAAGGGAAUUCCUAGUGUAGCGGUGAAAUGCGUAGAGAUUAGGAAGAACACCAGUGGCGAAGGCGCUUCUCUGGACUGUAACUGACGCUGAGGCUCGAAAGCGUGGGGAGC
rnacentral:rRNA from 1 species